rnacentral:misc_RNA from 1 species
CGUCAUCUCAGAGAGCUCAAGC